CUGGUGGCGAGUGGCGAACGGGUGAGUAAUGUAUCGGAACAUGUCCGGAAGUGGGGGAUAACGUAGCGAAAGUUACGCUAAUACCGCAUAUGCCCUGAGGGGGAAAGGGGGGACCGCAUGACCUCUCGCUUUCGGAGUGGCCGAUAUCGGAUUAGCUAGAUGGUGAGGUAAAGGCUCACCAUGGCGACGAUCCGUAGCGGGUCUGAGAGGACGACCCGCCACACUGGAACUGAGACACGGUCCAGACUCCUACGGGAGGCAGCAGUGGGGAAUUUUGGACAAUGGGCGCAAGCCUGAUCCAGCCAUACCGCGUGAGUGAAGAAGGCCUUCGGGUUGUAAAGCUCUUUCAGCCGGAAAGAAAUCGCGUUUAUUAAUACUAAACGUGGAUGACGGUACCGGAAGAAGAAGCACCGGCUAACUACGUGCCAGCAGCCGCGGUAAUACGUAGGGUGCGAGCGUUAAUCGGAAUUACUGGGCGUAAAGCGUGCGCAGGCCGUUUUGUAAGACAGAUGUGAAAUCCCCGGGCUCAACCUGGGAACUGCAUUUGUGACUGCAAGACUAGAGUGUAGCAGAGGGGGGUAGAAUUCCACGUGUAGCAGUGAAAUGCGUAGAGAUGUGGAGGAAUACCGAUGGCGAAGGCAGCCCCCUGGGCUAACACUGACGCUCAUGCACGAAAGCGUGGGGAGCAAACAGGAUUAGAUACCCUGGUAGUCCACGCCCUAAACGAUGUCAACUAGGUGUUGGGGAAGGAGACUUCUUUAGUACCGCAGCUAACGCGUGAAGUUGACCGCCUGGGGAGUACGGUCGCAAGAUUAAACUCAAAGGAAUUGACG
rnacentral:rRNA from 1 species